GGGCUCGUAGAUCAGCUGGAAGAUCGUUCGCUUGGCAAAGGAUUCGCUUCGGAUUCCUCCAACGUGCGAAAGGUCCCGGGUUCAAGUCCCGGCGAGUCCA
rnacentral:tRNA from 1 species